rnacentral:rRNA from 1 species
UGGGGAAUCUUCCGCAAUGGACGAAAGUCUGACGGAGCAACGCCGCGUGAGUGAUGACGGCCUUCGGGUUGUAAAGCUCUGUUAAUCGGGACGAAUGGUUCUUGUGCGAAUAGUGCAAGGAUUUGACGGUACCGGAAUAGAAAGCCACGGCUAACUACGUGCCAGCAGCCGCGGUAAUACGUAGGUGGCAAGCGUUGUCCGGAAUUAUUGGGCGUAAAGCGCGCGCAGGCGGAUUGGUCAGUCUGUCUUAAAAGUUCGGGGCUUAACCCCGUGGUGGGAUGGAAACUGCCAAUCUAGAGUAUCGGAGAGGAAAGUGGAAUUCCUAGUGUAGCGGUGAAAUGCGUAGAUAUUAGGAAGAACACCAGUGGCGAAGGCGACUUUCUGGACGAAAACUGACGCUGAGGCGCGAAAGCCAGGGGAGCGAACGGG